rnacentral:rRNA from 1 species
UUGACCUCGAUCAGGUAGGAUACCCGCUGAACUUAAGCAUA